rnacentral:hammerhead_ribozyme from 1 species
AUCCAGAUGACGGGUUCCAUAUAGGACUAAAUGCGCGUCAUGGAU